GACGAACGCUGGCGGCGUGCCUAACACAUGCAAGUCGAACGGAGAGGACAUGAAGUAUUUCGGUACGGAAUGCUCUCUUAGUGGCGAACGGGUGAGUAACACGUGGGCAACCUGCCCCAGACUGGGGGAUAACAUUGUGAAAACAGUGCUAAUACCGCAUGACAGGGUUCCGGGCAUCCGGGACCCUUGAAAGGAGAAAUCCGGUCAGGGAUGGGCCCGCGUCCAAUUAGCUAGUUGGCGGGGUAACGGCCCACCAAGGCGACGAUUGGUAGCCGAACUGAGAGGUUGAUCGGCCACAUUGGGACUGAGACACGGCCCAGACUCCUACGGGAGGCAGCAGUGGGGAAUAUUGGGCAAUGGGCGAAAGCCUGACCCAGCGACGCCGCGUGAAGGAUGAAGGUCUUCGGAUUGUAAACUUCUUUGAUCAGGGAAGAAAGAAAUGACGGUACCUGAAAACAAGCCACGGCUAACUACGUGCCAGCAGCCGACGGUAAACUGUAGUCGU
rnacentral:rRNA from 1 species